AUUGAACGCUGGCGGCAUGCCUUACACAUGCAAGUCGAACGGUAACAGGUCUUCGGAUGCUGACGAGUGGCGAACGGGUGAGUAAUGCAUCGGAACGUGCCCAGUAGUGGGGGAUAGCCCGGCGAAAGCCGGAUUAAUACCGCAUACGACCUGAGGGAGAAAGGGGGGGAUCGCAAGACCUAUCGCUAUUGGAGCGGCCGGUGUCAGAUUAGCUAGUUGGUGGGGUAAAGGCCUACCAAGGCAACGAUCUGUAGUUGGUCUGAGAGGACGACCAGCCACACUGGGACCGAGACACGGCCCAGACUCCUACGGGAGGCAGCAGUGGGGAAUUUUGGACAAUGGGCGCAAGCCUGAUCCAGCAAUGCCGCGUGCAGGAAGAAGGCCUUCGGGUUGUAAACUGCCUUUGUCAGGGAAGAAAUCUUCUGGGUUAAUACCUCGGGAGGAUGACGGUACCUGAAGAAUAAGCACCGGCUAACUACGUGCCAGCAGCCGCGGUAAAAC
rnacentral:rRNA from 1 species